rnacentral:rRNA from 1 species
GAUGAACGCUGGCGGCGUGCCUAAUACAUGCAAGUCGAGCGAACAGACGCGGAGCUUGCUCCUCUGACGUUAGCGGCGGACGGGUGAGUAACACGUGGAUGACCUACCUAUAAGACUGGGAUAACUUCGGGAAACCGGAGCUAAUACCGGAUAAUAUAUUGAACCGCAUGGUUCAAUAGUGAAAGACGGUUUUGCUGUCACUUAUAGAUGGAUCCGCGCCGCAUUAGCUAGUUGGUAAGGUAACGGCUUACCAAGGCAACGAUGCGUAGCCGACCUGAGAGGGUGAUCGGCCACACUGGAACUGAGACACGGUCCAGACUCCUACGGGAGGCAGCAGUAGGGAAUCUUCCGCAAUGGGCGAAAGCCUGACGGAGCAACGCCGCGUGAGUGAUGAAGGUCUUCGGAUCGUAAAACUCUGUUAUUAGGGAAGAACAAAUGUGUAAGUAACUAUGCACGUCUUGACGGUACCUAAUCAGAAAGCCACGGCUAACUACGUG